rnacentral:rRNA from 1 species
CCUACGGGGGGCAGCAGUGAGGAAUAUUGGUCAAUGGACGAGAGUCUGAACCAGCCAAGUAGCGUGAAGGAUGACUGCCCUAUGGGUUGUAAACUUCUUUUAUAUGGGAAUAACAUGUUCCACGUGUGGGAUUUUGUAUGUACCAUAUGAAUAAGGAUCGGCUAACUCCGUGCCAGCAGCCGCGGUAAUACGGAGGAUCCGAGCGUUAUCCGGAUUUAUUGGGUUUAAAGGGAGCGUAGGUGGAUUGUUAAGUCAGUUGUGAAAGUUUGCGGCUCAACCGUAAAAUUGCAGUUGAAACUGGCAGUCUUGAGUACAGUAGAGGUGGGCGGAAUUCGUGGUGUAGCGGUGAAAUGCUUAGAUAUCACGAAGAACUCCGAUUGCGAAGGCAGUUCACUGGACUGCAACUGACACUGAGGCUCGAAAGUGUGGGUAUCAAACAGGAUUAGAUACCCGAGUAGUC